rnacentral:rRNA from 1 species
GACCAAGGAGUCUAACAUGUGCGCGAGUCGUCGGGUCUUGAAUAGGCCCGCAGGCGAAAUGAAAGUGAAGGACGACCACGUCCGCGUUGGGAUCCCCGGGCCGAAGAGUCCGGGGCGCACCAACGGCCCGUCCCGUCCGCAGCGUCGGUGGGACGGAGCGAGAGCGUACACGUUGGGACCCGAAAGAUGGUGAACUAUGCCUGGGCAGGACGAGGCCAGAGGAAACUCUGGUGGAGGUCCGCAGCGAUUCUGACGUGCAAAUCGAUCGUCAGACCUGGGUAUAGGGGCGAAAGACUAAUCGAACCGUCUAGUAGCUGGUUCCCUCCGAAGUUUCCCUCAGGAUAGCUGGCGCUCGAGGGAGUCAGUCUCAUCCGGUAAAGCGAAUGAUUAGAGGCCUUGGGGCCGAAACGACCUCAACCUAUUCUCAAACUUUCAAUGGGUGAGAAGUCCGGUUUACAUGACUGAAGCCCGGACAAUUCUCAGGAUGCGAGUGCCCAGUGGGCCACUUUU